rnacentral:siRNA from 1 species
UCGCUAACGAUCAAAUGACUAGGU